rnacentral:rRNA from 3 species
AAUCCAUAGGUUAAUGAGGCGAACCGGGGGAACUGAAACAUCUAAGUACCCCGAGGAAAAGAAAUCAACCGAGAUUCCCCCAGUAGCGGCGAGCGAACGGGGAGGAGCCCAGAGCCUGAAUCAGCAUGUGUGUUAGUGGAAGCGUCUGGAAAGGCGCGCGAUACAGGGUGACAGCCCCGUACACAAAAGCGCAUGUGCUGUGAGCUCGAUGAGUAGGGCGGGACACGUGGUAUCCUGUCUGAAUAUGGGGGGACCAUCCUCCAAGGCUAAAUACUCCUGACUGACCGAUAGUGAACCAGUACCGUGAGGGAAAGGCGAAAAGAACCCCGGCGAGGGGAGUGAAAAAGAACCUGAAACCGUGUACGUACAAGCAGUGGGAGCACCCUUUGGGUGUGACUGCGUACCUUUUGUAUAAUGGGUCAGCGACUUAUAUUCUGUAGCAAGGUUAACCGAAUAGGGGAGCCGGAGGGAAACCGAGUCUUAACCGGGCGUUAAGUUGCAGGGUAUAGACCCGAAACCCGGUGAUCUAGCCAUGGGCAGGUUGAAGGUUGGGUAACACUAACUGGAGGACCGAACCGACUAAUGUUGAAAAAUUAGCGGAUGACCUGUGGCUGGGGGUGAAAGGCCAAUCAAACCGGGAGAUAGCUGGUUCUCCCCGAAAGCUAUUUAGGUAGCGCCUCGUGAAUUCAUCUCCGGGGGUAGAGCACUGUUUCGGCUAGGGGGCCAUCCCGGCUUACCAACCCGAUGCAAACUGCGAAUACCGGAGAAUGUUAUCACGGGAGACACACGGCGGGUGCUAACGUCCGUCGUGAAGAGGGAAACAACCCAGACCGCCAGCUAAGGUCCCAAAGUCAUGGUUAAGUGGGAAACGAUGUGGGAAGGCCCAGACAGCCAGGAUGUUGGCUUAGAAGCAGCCAUCAUUUAAAGAAAGCGUAAUAGCUCACUGGUCGAGUCGGCCUGCGCGGAAGAUGUAACGGGGCUAAACCAUGCACCGAAGCUGCGGCAGCGACACUGUGUGUUGUUGGGUAGGGGAGCGUUCUGUAAGCCUG